CCUACGGGAGGCAGCAGUAGGGAAUCUUCCACAAUGGGCGAAAGCCUGAUGGAGCAACGCCGCGUGGGUGAAGAAGGUCUUCGGAUCGUAAAACCCUGUUGUUAGAGAAGAAAGUGCGUGAGAGUAACUGUUCACGUUUCGACGGUAUCUAACCAGAAAGCCAUGGCUAACUACGUGCCAGCAGCCGAGGUAAUACGUAGGUGGCAAGCGUUAUCCGGAUUUAUUGGGCGUAAAGGGAACGCAGGCGGCCUUUUAAGUCUGAUGUGAAAGCCUUCGGCUUAACCGGAGUAGUGCAUUGGAAACUGGGGUACUUGAGUGCAGAGGAGGAGAGUGGAAUUCCAUGUGUAGCGGUGAAAUGCGUAGAUAUAUGGAAGAACACCAGUGGCGAAAGCGGCUUUCUGGUCUGUAACUGACGCUGAGGUUCGAAAGCGUGGGUAGCAAACAGGAUUAGAUACCCUGGUAGUC
rnacentral:rRNA from 1 species